UUUGAUUCUUUUAUUGAACAUUUUGGCAUGUCAUUAUUUUUGUUUGAGCAGAAUAAAAAAAGAGAAAUUUAAUGGUGCUGCGAGGGUUAGUCACAAAGGUUGUUAUAAGCUUACACUGAAUACUAGUUUGAGUGAAGUCAUAUCGUAUGCACUAGAGAUACAAAACCCAGACGAGAUAGUAGCUAUCACAUGCUAUCUUCCAAGCUUAAACAAGGAAUUUUCGUUCAAAGAGUAUGAAACUUCAUAUGUCCGGAUACACGUCUGGAAGGAUCCUCACCUAGACUGGAGAACUUAAGUACGCAUUUUAUAACCCUUCUCCCUCGUGCACGUUCAAACUCUUCUUAGGUCUCAGUUUGGGUUUGUUACAAGUGAAGACAGAGAAAAAUGCAGGAACCAGCAAAUUUUGGAUGCAAUUCUCUUCUCCUUAGAUCACGUGGUUGAAAUAUAAUGAUGCAUGCCGCCAUUUUAAACAAUAAUUACAUCAACUCAGGUACUCAGCAAUUGAGCCAAAGGUUGAAUUUCGUGAGUAUUAGUUGUCUAGACUUAUUGUGAGUUUAAUUGUUUAACAGAUGCAUCUCUCGCAAUGUUAUUAUGUUUAUGAUUCCCACACUCUAGCGUCUUCCACUGUUUAUGUAAUAAAUACUAUGACCUGGU